ACUCCUGGAAACUCAGUGCUGUCCUUCAGGCUGUGUGGGUCAGGGAUAGGAAGGCAGGAUGCCAGUGAUAGAUGGAGUAUCCCAGUUACUCUCCAUAGUAACCCUGUGAGGUUGGUAAUGAGGCCCCCAUUGGACAGAGGAAGAAACCGAGGCCCAGGGAUUACACAGCCAGUAGAGAGAGGACAGAGCAUGGAGCUCCUGGAGAGGCAGUGGAUAAUUCUUCCCGACAGAGGAGCUGACUGUUGAACCCCUUCUUUGAAGGAGAGUCCGUGCUGCCAAAUCGAAGAAGAGAAACGCCCUGGCUGGAAAGCAGAGAGAACAGCAGGUCAGAAAGUCUGCUCAGCAGUAGCUGUGGAUGGUAAGAAGACACGCUGUCGCAGGUUCGGCUCAGAAACUCCAGUGUCCCUCAGCGUCUCGCCGGCACCCUCUGCCGGCGUGAGGUGGCGCUGCCUGGCCGCAUCCUGGGGGAGCGUCCACAUCCUCGGUCGACAAAAGGAGCGUCGACACUCUCGGACCUGGGAAAGUGACGGCCCAAACGCCAGGGAGGAGCCAGGACCUCGCCCUGAGCUAGCGGGA
rnacentral:lncRNA from 1 species